AUCUGCCAUCCACCCUCUUUAUCUUCACUUUGCAUUGCUGGCAUCCAGCCAUAAAAAGCGGGAGGGGGAAAUGGGGAAGAAACACAGAGAAGGAGAUGAUAGGACCCAGAGAUGCCAAUCCAAAACAACAGACAAGAGAUCCAAGGGUCUAAGGGGUGAGAAUGGAAGGCAGACAUCUACCGAAGAGGAGCCAAUCAUUGGGGCUGUUACCAAAACUCCUAACUUGAAUAGUAUUGGACAUUGAACAAAAGAAGAGAAUAACAUACUUCAUCCAAGCCUUCAAUUUCCACAAACACACAAAUAGUAAGAUACAAGCAAUAAUCUGAAUUUGAACAAACAAGUCAAGAUGAAUUGAUGUAAAUGAACCUAGUUCGGAGGGCACAAUUGGUGCACAAGAUGGAUCUGUGUGAAGGCCUUUUUAGCUCCAGUUGCUACUUCGCAAGCAGGAGAUGUGGGUCCAAGAAGGCACAUUAAAUUGUGAACCAGUCCUGAAAGUACAACACCUCUCAGAACUAAAGAUGGGGUGUUCCUGGUCCAGAGUACAUACAACAAUUUUAAUGUGAAUAACAAUUAAAGAAAUCAGAAGUGAACCGAACUAUUUUGUCUAAAAAUCCGCUUGAAGAUUUUUUAAUACCCACACAUUCAGAAAGAAAACCUAACUUGAAAAGAUGAUGGUAAUGAUUUUUGUAAUAUCUUCUUCUAGAAGGAUUUAAUAUACAACUUUUAAUAUACAACUCGUUUGAGAAGAGUUAAUCCUAGGCAUUUUAUUAAUAAGACAAAACCAUCUGUCCUUCCAUUUUCUUGUGUAUUAAGGCCUGUCUAUUUUAUGCAUGGGUUCUUGUAAAAUUUAAAUACUCAUGAUAUGAAUCAGAAAAAAGGACAUCAUGUAUCCUUAUCAUCUUAUUUAUGAUUGUUCUGUGUGCCCUUUUUUUUUUUUUUACAAUUCUGUAAAAUUGUAACAUCAUUUGGUACAAAAUGAAACCAUGCAGUGUGAUCUACCAUAGUUAUUUUACAUUUUCCACCUUUCUCCCUGAAAUCAAUAGAACAAAAGCUUUUGUACUGUAGUGACUUGUGUGCAACUGCCACAAAUGUUAAUGAAGAUUACACAAUAAUGUUCUUUCUGUGUAAAGAUAUAAUUAAUGAGCCAGGGAUCAAAAGGCUGAUACAUUAAGUACUAUAAAUCAGAUUAUUCUAUUCCAUUCCAUUCCUUCUUCUGAUGAUUUUUACCCAUAAUAAAAUUUUAUGCCAGUAUUUCUCAAUCUU